AAGCAUCAAGAGUAGGAUAUGAAGUCCUCGCCAACCUGCCCAGCCCGGGCAAGGUGGUCACCCGAAAAGGGGAUGUGGCCGGGCAGCAACCACUAG
rnacentral:ncRNA from 1 species